rnacentral:rRNA from 1 species
CCCUUAGAUGCCCUGGGCUGCACGCGCGCUACACUGACACAUUCAACGAGUAUUUCCUUUUCCGAGGGGAUUGGGUAAUCUUCUGAAAGUGUGUCGUGAUGGGGAUAGAUUAUUGCAAUUAUUAAUCUUCAACGAGGAAUUCCUAGUAAGUGCAAGUCAUCAGCUUGCGCUGAUUACGUCCCUGCCCUUUGUACACACCGCCCGUCGCUCCUACCGAUUGAGUGGUCCGGUGAGGCUUUGGGAUCUGAGCGGAAAGAGCGUUUCGCUGUUUCUGCUCGGAAAACUCAGUCGAACCUUAUCAUUUAGAGGAAGGAGAAGUCGUAACA